UACGUAGGGGGCUAGCGUUGUCCGGAAUCAUUGGGCGUAAAGCGCGUGUAGGCGGACUCUUAAGUCGGUGGUGAAAUCCUGGAGCUCAACUCCAGAACUGCCUUCGAUACUGAGAGUCUCGAGUCCGGGAGAGGUGAGUGGAACUGCGAGUGUAGAGGUGAAAUUCGUAGAUAUUCGCAAGAACACCAGUGGCGAAGGCGGCUCACUGGCCCGGUACUGACGCUGAGGUGCGAAAGCGUGGGGAGCAAACAGG
rnacentral:rRNA from 1 species